GUCUUGGUAGCUCAGUCAGUAGAGCAUGAGACUUCAUCUCAGGGUCAUGGGUUUGAGCCCCAUUUGGGUCA